CGUAGGCAGGCUCGACCUCAAAUACAAUUACUAGCGAUCUGUUGCUCGGUAUCCUCCGACGUCGUCGUGGUGCAGGCGGUUCUUCAUCUCGCGAUCGUCUUCGUGAGCUAGUCGCUUGAGAUGACAUAACAAGUGUAGUAUCUUGACUAUCCAUGUCCAAAGGCUAAAAUGAUGAGAGCAAACUAUAGUUGCUAACAAAGUUCUAUACUAUCGAACUAUGGGUUUUGGAGGUGCCCUCCCCCCUUUUUAUGCUACUUGAUGAGCAAGCUUCAGCAAGAAGCUAUCGUUGAAUCGGCUUAGGUUUAUGAGGAUAUCGUUGAUGAAAUUCUUGUACCUUUUU
rnacentral:lncRNA from 1 species